rnacentral:rRNA from 1 species
GGAAAAGGCGUCAGCAUUACACAUGCAAGUCGAACGAUGAACCUCCUUCGGGAGGGGAUUAGUGGCGAACGGGUGAGUAACACGUGGGCAAUCUGCCCUGCACUCUGGGACAAGCCCUGGAAACGGGGUCUAAUACCGGAUACGACUCGGGAGGGCAUCCUUCCGGGUGGAAAGCUCCGGCGGUGCAGGAUGAGCCCGCGGCCUAUCAGCUUGUUGGUGGGGUGAUGGCCUACCAAGGCGACGACGGGUAGCCGGCCUGAGAGGGCGACCGGCCACACUGGGACUGAGACACGGCCCAGACUCCUACGGGAGGCAGCAGUGGGGAAUAUUGCACAAUGGGCGAAAGCCUGAUGCAGCGACGCCGCGUGAGGGAUGACGGCCUUCGGGUUGUAAACCUCUUUCAGCAGGGAAGAAGCGCAAGUGACGGUACCUGCAGAAGAAGCGCCGGCUAACUACGUGCCAGCAGCCGCGGUAAUACGUAGGGCGCAAGCGUUGUCCGGAAUUAUUGGGCGUAAAGAGCUCGUAGGCGGCUUGUCGCGUCGGAUGUGAAAGCUCGGGGCUUAACCCCGGGUCUGCAUUCGAUACGGGCAGGCUAGAGUGUGGUAGGGGAGAUCGGAAUUCCUGGUGUAGCGGUGAAAUGCGCAGAUAUCAGGAGGAACACCGGUGGCGAAGGCGGAUCUCUGGGCCAUUACUGACGCUGAGGAGCGAAAGCGUGGGGGAGCGAACAGGAUUAGAUACCCUGGUAGUCCACGCCGUAAACGUUGGGAACUAGGUGUUGGCGACAUUCCACGUCGUCGGUGCCGCAGCUAACGCAUUAAGUUCUCCGCCUGGGGAGUACGGCCGCAAGGCUAAAACUCAAGGAAUUGACGGGGCCCGCACCAGCAGCGGAGCAUGUGGCUUAAUUCGACGCAACGCGAGAACCUUACCCACGCUUGACAUAUACAGGAAAGUGCUAGAGAUAGUGCCCCCCUUGUGGUCGUAUACAGGUGGUGCAUGGCUGUCGUCAGCUCGUGUCGUGAGAUGUUUGGCUUAAGUCACGCACUAAGCGCCACCCAUUGUCUGUGUUGCCAGCAUGCCUUCGGCGUGAUGGGGUACUCCCAGGAGACAGCUGGCCCACUCGCAGGAGGUAGGGAACACGUCAGUCAUCAUGCCCCUUAUGUCUUGGGCUGCCCCAUGCUUACAAUGGCCGUACCAAUGAGCUGCAUGCCUGGACGCGGAACGAAUUAGAACGGUCUAUGUCCGAUGGACUGUACUCGCACAGAUGAUCACUCGCAAGAUUGCUUAUAUGCAUGUAU